rnacentral:rRNA from 1 species
UACAGAGGUCCCAAGCGUUACUGAGAAUCACUGGGUUUAAAGGGUGCGUAGGUGGUCCGUUAAGUCAGUUGUGAAAUCCCCGGGCUCAACCCGGGAACUGCUUCUGAUACUGGCGGACUUGAGGCCAGUAGGGGUCACUAGAACUGACGGUGGAGCGGUGAAAUGCGUAGAUAUUGGGAAGAACACCAGUGGCGAAGGCGGCUCACUGGCUCGUAACUGACGCUCAGGCGCGACAGCGUGGGGAUCAAACAGG